UACGAAGGGGGCUAGCGUUGCUCGGAAUCACUGGGCGUAAAGCGUGCGCAGGCGGUUUUGUAAGCCAGAUGUGAAAUCCCCGGGCUUAACCUGGGAAUGGCAUUUGGGACUGCAAGGCUUGAGUGCGGCAGAGGAGACUGGAAUUCCUGGUGUAGCAGUGAAAUGCGUAGAUAUCAGGAGGAACACCGAUGGCGAAGGCAGGUCUCUGGGCUGACACUGACGCUCAUGCACGAAAGCGUGGGGAGCAAACAGG
rnacentral:rRNA from 1 species